rnacentral:rRNA from 1 species
GCAGUCGAGGGGUAUAGGUUUUCGGACCUAGAGACCGGCGCACGGGUGCGUAACGCGUAUGCAAUCUACCUUUUACAGAGGGAUAGCCCAGAGAAAUUUGGAUUAAUACCUCAUAGUAUUAUUGAAUGGCAUCAUUUAAUAAUUAAAGUCACAACGGUAAAAGAUGAGCAUGCGUCCCAUUAGCUUGUUGGUAAGGUAACGGCUUACCAAGGCAACGAUGGGUAGGGGUCCUGAGAGGGAGAUCCCCCACACUGGUACUGAGACACGGACCAGACUCCUACGGGAGGCAGCAGUGAGGAAUAUUGGUCAAUGGGCGCAAGCCUGAACCAGCCAUGCCGCGUGCAGGAUGAAGCAUCUAUGGUGUGUAAACUGCUUUUGUACGAGAAGAAACACUCCUUCGUGAAGGAGCUUGACGGUAUCGUAAGAAUAAGGACCGGCUAACUCCGUGCCAGCAGCCGCGGUAAUACGGAGGGUCCAAGCGUUAUCCGGAAUCAUUGGGUUUAAAGGGUCCGUAGGCGGUUUUGUAAGUCAGUGGUGAAAGCCCAUCGCUCAACGGUGGAACGGCCAUUGAUACUGCAAGACUUGAAUUAUUGGGAAGUAACUAGAAUAUGUAGUGUAGCGGUGAAAUGCUUAGAUAUUACAUGGAAUACCAAUUGCGAAGGCAGGUUACUACUAAUAUAUUGACGCUGAUGGACGAAAGCGUGGGGAGCGAACAGGAUUAGAUACCCUGGUAGUCCACGCCGUAAACGAUGGAUACUAGCUGUUCGGAGCAAUCUGAGUGGCUAAGCGAAAGUGAUAAGUAUCCCACCUGGGGAGUACGUUC